rnacentral:lncRNA from 1 species
UACAUCACUUUAUGUUGCUACUCUAGCAAUCAUCAUUCUUUACCUUUCUUUACUUUUGUUAACUCUCGCAAUUAUUGUUCUUUACUUUUCCUUGCUUUUGCUAACUCUAGCAAUCACGUUCUUUACAUUUCUUUACUUUUCACUUUAGUCAUUAUCAUUAUUCUUUACAUCACAUUGAUUCUUUGCCUCACACUACCUCUAGUGUCACUUU